GACGUAGGAUGCGAGCGUUUGUUCGGAAUUAUUGGGCGUAAAGCGUGCGUAGACGGUUGCGUAAGUCAGAUGUGAAAGCCCCGGGCUCAACCUGGGAAUUGCAUUUGAGACUGCGUAGCUAGGGUGCGGAAGAGGGAAGCGGAAUUUCCGGUGUAGCGGUGAAAUGCGUAGAUAUCGGAAGGAACACCAGUGGCGAAAGCGGCUUCCUGGUCCAGCACCGACGUCAGGCACGAAAGCGUGGGGAGCAAACAGG
rnacentral:rRNA from 1 species